rnacentral:lncRNA from 1 species
UAGGAAAUCACAUCAGUGAAGUUUUUAUUAUCGAUAAGAUAUCAUUUUACAUCAUAAUUGAUGAUUGUCAUUGAUACAACAGUAGCAUCAUUAUGAGGAGUUUGGACUCCUCGUAUAUCUUUCUUGGAGAAAAUGAUGUCAUCGUUUACUCACCAAUACAUAGAAGAGCUUUUCAAGUCGUCUGCCCCCGAAAUCUCGAUCCCAUCGAAAUCAUGUUAAUCACGUCUGCUGUAGGUUGAAUGCGGGUUUCUUCGUCGGGAUGUGGCUAAGGUGGUGGAUCGGAGGGCAGUUGCAUAGGCCACUCCUGCACAUCUUUUUCAAAAUAUUUUCAUCUUAUCAGAUCUUCUAUCUCAUUCUUCAACUGAAUGCACUAUUCGGUAUCAUGAUCAUGAUCACGAUGGAACCGAUAGUAGCACUUUCGGUUGUGAGGCUUCGACUUCAUUGGCUGGGGUUGUCGAAGGUAGCUCUCCCUCUCUAUUUUUAUAAGAAUCUACACACACGGAGUGAUUGAAGGGUGUAGGAGUCAU